GACGAACGCUGGCGGCGUGCUUAACACAUGCAAGUCGAACGCUGAAGCUCAGCUUUUGUUGGGUGGAUGAGUGGCGAACGGGUGAGUAACACGUGAGUAACCUGCCCCCUUCUUUGGGAUAACGCCCGGAAACGGGUGCUAAUACUGGAUAUUCACUGAUCUUCGCAUGGGGGUUGGUGGAAAGGUUUUUUCUGGUGGGGGAUGGGCUCGCGGCCUAUCAGCUUGUUGGUGGGGUGAUGGCCUACCAAGGCUUUGACGGGUAGCCGGCCUGAGAGGGUGACCGGUCACAUUGGGACUGAGAUACGGCCCAGACUCCUACGGGAGGCAGCAGUGGGGAAUAUUGCACAAUGGGCGAAAGCCUGAUGCAGCGACGCCGCGUGAGGGAUGGAGGCCUUCGGGUUGUAAACCUCUUUCGCUCAUGGUCAAGCCGCAACUGUGGGUUGUGGUGAGGGUAGUGUGUAAAGAAGCGCCGGCUAACUACGUGCCAGCAGCCGCGGUAAUACGUAGGGCGCGAGCGUUGUCCGGAAUUAUUGGGCGUAAAGGGCUUGUAGGCGGUUGGUCGCGUCUGCCGUGAAAUCCUCUGGCUUAACUGGGGGCGUGCGGUGGGUACGGGCUGACUUGAGUGCGGUAGGGGAGACUGGAACUCCUGGUGUAGCGGUGGAAUGCGCAGAUAUCAGGAAGAACACCGGUGGCGAAGGCGGGUCUCUGGGCCGUUACUGACGCUGAGGAGCGAAAGCGUGGGGAGCGAACAGG
rnacentral:rRNA from 1 species